GUCGGAUUUGUGAGUGCUGCCAGAGAUCUCCCACAGGUUAGGGGAAUUCACAGCUGGCUAGUUCAACGGAUUUCUGUCUCUGCUGUAAUUCCAGAGUGGUGCAAAAGGGUUAUUCUGUCUUUGAAACCAGAGGGCGAAUUAUAUCAUAAUAUCUUUUGGACCCUCUAAGUAAUUUCAGGAACUUAUGUUGUAUAUCUGGACAACCAGUCCCACAGAGAAGAGAAUGAACAUGGCAUUGUGUAUCAUGGCCUUCACAAGCACAUAAACUCUCAUCCAUGGCAUUUUGGACAGAUGAAUACAAAACUGUGAGGCUUAUCAGAUAAGUUGGGUUUGGAUCACCCUGGCUCCCAAUUCAUAUUGCGCCCUGGGCUGCAUGCUUUGAAUGGAACUGCAGCAUACCUAAAAUGGCCCCCAACAAG